rfam:Schistosoma rodhaini strain Burundi genome assembly, scaffold: SROB_scaffold0000718
AUCCAGCUGACUAGUCUGAAAUAGGACGAAACGCGCGUCCUGGAU